UACGUAGGGUCCGAGCGUUGUCCGGAAUUACUGGGCGUAAAGAGCUCGUAGGUGGUUUGUCGCGUUGUUCGUGAAAACUCACAGCUCAACUGUGGGCGUGCGGGCGAUACGGGCAGACUAGAGUACUGCAGGGGAGACUGGAAUUCCUGGUGUAGCGGUGGAAUGCGCAGAUAUCAGGAGGAACACCGGUGGCGAAGGCGAGUCUCUGGGCAGUAACUGACGCUGAGGAGCGAAAGCGUGGGGAGCAAACAGG
rnacentral:rRNA from 1 species